rnacentral:rRNA from 1 species
AUUGAACGCUGGCGGCAGGCCUAACACAUGCAAGUCGAGCGGUAGAGAGAAGCUUGCUUCUCUUGAGAGCGGCGGACGGGUGAGUAAUACCUAGGAAUCUGCCUGAUAGUGGGGGAUAACGUUCGGAAACGGACGCUAAUACCGCAUACGUCCUACGGGAGAAAGCAGGGGACCUUCGGGCCUUGCGCUAUAAGAUGAGCCUAGGUCGGAUUAGCUAGUUGGUGAGGUAAUGGCUCACCAAGGCUACGAUCCGUAACUGGUCUGAGAGGAUGAUCAGUCACACUGGAACUGAGACACGGUCCAGACUCCUACGGGAGGCAGCAGUGGGGAAUAUUGGACAAUGGGCGAAAGCCUGAUCCAGCCAUGCCGCGUGUGUGAAGAAGGUCUUCGGAUUGUAAAGCACAUUAAGUUGGGAGGAAGGGCAUUAACCUAAUACGUUAGUGUCUUGACGUUACCGACAGAAUAAGCACCGGCUAACUACUGUGCCAGCAGCC